GCACUGUCGCCUGGGCUCCACUUCCCAGGUUCAAGCGAUUCUCCUGCCUCAGCCUCCCAAGUAGCUGGGAUUACAGGAGGCUCCCAUCAUGCCCAGCUAACUUUUUGUAUUUUUAGAGAGAUGGGGUUUCACCAUGUUGGCCAGGCUGGUCUCGAACUCCUGACCUCAAAUGAUCCGCCCGCCUAGGCCUCCCAAAGUCCUGGGAUUACAGGCGUGAGCCACUGUGCCCAGCCACGUCUGCUCAUAAAGUAAUUAUUUUUAUGUGCACACCCUGCAAUAUUACUGUGCUACUCAAAAGCUAAUUAUGGGGCCAGGCUUGUUGGCUCACGCCUGUAAUCCUAGCACUUUGGGAGGUCAAGGGGGGUGGAUCACUUGAGGUUAGGAGUUCAAGGCCACCUGGCCAACAUGGCGAAACCCCACCUCUGCUAAAAAUACAAAAAUUAGCUGGGCACAGUGGCGCACGCCUGUAAUCCCAGCUACUCCAGAGGCUGAGGCAGGAGAAUCGCUUGAACCCGGGAAGUGAAUGUUGCAGUGAGCCAAAGUCGCGCCACUGCACUCCAGCCUGGGGGACAGAGCAAAACUCUGUCUCAAAAAAAAAAAGCGAAUUAUGGGACUUAUAAGAAAAUAUUAAUUUAGCAUGCCCCAAGGACCAAAGUGCGCUGGGAAUUCAGCCGUAGCUGUCUUUGAGUGUGGUCAGCCGCCUGGGCGCCACAGAGACCCACGAAGAAGUGGGGGGUCCUCCGUGAAUGCGAGGUCCAGGCUGUUUUUAUCUCUUGAGCCUCAGUUUCCUUUCCUGCACUUGGAGCAGUUAACCCUCAGUGCCUAGCAGCCGGUUAUUAACAUGUUCACAACACCUUCCACCCAGGGAAGGGGUGGGAAAGUCUGUUGGGCUUUUGAAAGAGAAAAACAACUUCCACAGUCCUUCCGGCCCCACAUCCUCUGAACAGGGCUGGGCGCCUCCUCUGGGGCGUAACCAGCUUGGUCACGCCCCCGACAGACCCCGCCCCCAGCCCGCCGCCGAGGCCCC
rnacentral:lncRNA from 1 species